rnacentral:misc_RNA from 1 species
GAUGAAGAACGCAGCGAAAUGCGAUAAGUAGUGUGAAUUGCAGAAUUCAGUGAAUCAUCGAAUCUUUGAACGCACAUUGCGCCUCUUGGUAAUCCAUGGGGCAUGCCUGUUCGAGCGUCAUUUGUACCUUCAAGCUUUGCUUGGUGUUGGGUGUUUGUCUCGCCUUUGCGUGUAGACUCGCCUUAAAAUAAUUGGCAGCCGGCGUAUUGAUUUCGGAGCGCAGUACAUCUCGCGCUUUGCACUCAUAACGACAGCGUCCAAAAGUACAUUUUACACUCUUGACCUCGGAUCAGGUAGGGAUACCCGCUGAACUUAAGCAUAUCAAUAAGCGGAGGA